ACCUCUCUAUUCCAACUGGCAGAGAAAACGGUCUUAAACUCCGUAUAGUCCCGGUUCGAAUCCGGGGAGAGGUA
rnacentral:tRNA from 1 species